AUUGAACGCUGGCGGAAUGCUUUACACAUGCAAGUCGAACGGCAGCACGGACUUCGGUCUGGUGGCGAGUGGCGAACGGGUGAGUAAUGUAUCGGAACGUGCCCAGUCGUGGGGGAUAACGUAGUGAAAAUUACGCUAAUACCGCAUACGAUCUAUGGAUGAAAGCGGGGGAUCGCAAGACCUCGCGCGAUUGGAGCGGCCGAUAUCAGAUUAGGUAGUUGGUGGGGUAAAGGCCCACCAAGCCAACGAUCUGUAGCUGGUCUGAGAGGACGACCAGCAACACGGGAACUGGGACACGGUCCAGACUCCGACGGGAGGCAGCAGUGGGGAAUUUUGGACAAUGGGCGAAAGCCUGAUCCAGCCAUUCCGCGUGCAGGAUGAAGGCCCUCGGGUUGUAAACUGCUUUUGUACAGAACGAAAAGGUUUCUACUAAUACUAGGAGCUCAUGACGGUACUGUAAGAAUAAGCACCGGCUAACUACGUGCCAGCCGCCGCGGUAA
rnacentral:rRNA from 1 species